UGGGGAAUAUUGCGCAAUGGGCGAAAGCUUGACGCAGCAACGCCGCGUGAGUGAUGAAGGCCUUCGGGUCGUAAAGCUCUGUCAGAAGGAACGAACACCCUCAGGGAGCCAUACCCCUGAGGUUUGACGGUACCUUCAGAGGAAGCACCGGCUAACUCCGUGCCAGCAGCCGCGGUAAUACGGAGGGUGCUAGCGUUGUUCGGAAUUACUGGGCGUAAAGCGCGUGUAGGCGGAUUCGGUAGUCGGGUGUGAAAGCCCUGGGCUUAACCCAGGAAGUGCGCCCGAAACCACGAGUCUUGAGGUCCGGAAGGGAUCGGGGAAUUCCCAGUGUAGAGGUGAAAUUCGUAGAUAUUGGGAGGAACACCGGCGGCGAAGGCGCCGAUCUGGACGGAUUCUGACGCUAAGACGCGAAAGCGUGGGUAGCAAACAGG
rnacentral:rRNA from 1 species